UACGUAGGGUGCAAGCGUUAAUCGGAAUUACUGGGCGUAAAGCGUGCGCAGGCGGUUUUGUAAGUCAGAUGUGAAAUCCCCGGGCUUAACCUGGGAACUGCGUUUGAAACUACAAGGCUAGAGUGUGGCAGAGGGGGUGGAAUUCCACGUGUAGGCAGUGAAAUGCGUAGAGAUGUGGAGGAACACCGAUGGCGAAGGCAGCCCCUGGG
rnacentral:rRNA from 1 species